AAUGUACAGAUUCAAGUCCAACGAUAUAUGAACUGGCAUGUGAACUAACAUGAAGCCUAAUGUAUAAGGUUAUGGGCAGAACAUAUCAUGCAAAUGUAAAUUAUUCACAUCAAUUCGAAAUCAAUACAAAGUUACUGUCGUGAAAGAUCUACUUAGUUACAAAUCCAUGUAUUGUGAAUAACAAACUAUUUCAUGCUUUUAAACUAAACAGGGAAUAUGAGUCUUCACAGAUCAAGUGUAAACAUUUAUAAACUUCCACAAUUCUACUUUGAAUCUUCUCAACUUGAAUGAAGCCAGAUAAGUACCUGGAAAUUGAAUUUCAAAAGAAAAUUGGAGGUCAGUUAAGUAGCAAAAAUAUUCAACUGCAAUUUUAAGCUAUAGCUACAAUCAACAGAUCAACCGCAGCCCAGAUAAGGAUUUCACCCAACAGUCCGCCAGAAUGAGCAAACAAUCGUGCCUCAACCACAAAUAAACUUCACACAAACUUGCAUUCAGACCCAAAUAAUCAGAAACACUUAUACCUCAACAAUACUUCCAAAUAUAACCCAAAAUUCCACCAAUUACCAGGAGCCACAAACAAACACUGGAAAAAGGAUUCGAAGUCGAGCUAAGUUAUCUACGAAACAGUAGCUGUUUUGGUAUUUUUGAAGUUUUUCUUAUUUUUUUUGUUUGGUUUUCUUAAUUUGAAAGCUCUUUAGAUCUAAAAAAACUCAGAAUGGAAAGGUUUUUGA
rnacentral:lncRNA from 1 species